GAACGUACGCUGGCGGCACGCCUAACACAUGCAAGUCGAACGAAGUAGCAAUACUUAGUGGCAGACGGGUGAGUAACAUGUAGGUAUCUGCCCUUUGGCCUGGAAUAACACGAGGAAACUUGUGCUAAUACCGGAUAAGUCUUUACGGAGAAAGCUUUAUGCACCAUUGGAUGAGCCUGCACUUGAUUAGUUUGUUGGUGGGGUAAUGGCCUACCAAGACUGUGAUCAAUAGCUGAUUUGAGAGGAUGAUCAGCCACAUUGGGACUGAGACACGGCCCAAACUCCUACGGGAGGCAGCAGUGGGGAAUCUUGCACAAUGGAGGAAACUCUGAUGCAGCGAUGCCGCGUGAGUGAAGAAGGCCCUUGGGUUGUAAAGCUCUUUCGUCGGGGAAGAAAAUGACUGUACCCGAAUAAGAAGGUCCGGCUAACUUCGUGCCAGCAGCCGCGGUAAUACGAAGGGACCUAGCGUAGUUCGGAAUUACUGGGCUUAAAGAGUUCGUAGGUGGUUGAAAAAGUUAGUGGUGAAAUCCCAGAGCUUAACUCUGGAACUGCCAUUAAAACUUUUCAGCUAGAGUAUGAUAGAGGAAAGCAGAAUUUCUAGUGUAGAGGUGAAAUUCGUAGAUAUUAGAAAGAAUACCAAUUGCGAAGGCAGCUUUCUGGAUCAUUACUGACACUGAGGAACGAAAGCAUGGGUAGCGAAGAGGAUUAGAUACCCUCGUAGUCCAUGCCGUAAACGAUGUGUGUUAGACGUUGGAAAUUUAUUUUCAGUGUCGCAGGGAAACCGAUAAACACACCGCCUGGGGAGUACGACCGCAAGGUUAAAACUCAAAUGAAUUGACGGGGACCCGCACAAGUAGUGGAGCAUGUGGUUUAAUUCGAAGAUACGCGCAGAACCUUACCAACACUUGACAUGUUCGUCGCAACUUUAAGAGAUUAAAGUUUUCGGUUCGGCCGGACGAAACACAGGUGCUGCAUGGCUGUCGUCAGCUCGUGUCGUGAGAUGUUGGGUUAAGUCCCGCAACGAGCGCAACCCUCACUUUUAGUUGCCAUCAUUAAGUUGGGCACUCUGAAAGAACUGCCAGUGAUAAGCUGGAGGAAGGUGGGGAUGACGUCAAGUCCUCAUGGCCCUUACGUGUUGGGCUACACACGUGCUACAAUGGUAUCUACAACAGGAAGCAAGACUGCGAAGUUAAGCAAAUCCCUAAAAGAUACCUCAGUUCGGAUUGCACUCUGCAACUCGAGUGCAUGAAGCUGGAAUUACUAGUAAUCGUGGAUCAGCGUGCCACGGUGAAUGCGUUCCCGGGUCUUGUACACACCGCC
rnacentral:rRNA from 1 species